rnacentral:rRNA from 1 species
CAUUAUACCGCGAUGCGAAUGGCUCAUUAUAUAAGUUAUCGUUUAUUUGAUAGUACCUUACUACAUGGAUAACCGUGGUAAUUCUAGAGCUAAUACAUGCUAAAAAUCCCGACUCCGGAAGGGAUGUAUUUAUUANAUUAAAAACCAAUGCCCUUCGGGGCUCUCUGGNGGAUUCNUGAAACUUUCUCAAAUCCCACGGCCCCCCCCCGGGAAGGGUCCUUCCAAUUUUCUUCCCUAUCACUUUCCAAUGCNGGGUCUUGGUCCUAGCAUGGUUGCAACGGUAACGGGGNAAAAGNAUACAGCUUUGGGGGNGNCGUUAGUANCGAGAAGUUAUAAGGAANCUAGGCGCUCGAAUGUCUUUCGCUUCNCUCUCNAUGAUAAGAUUUAGGCCUGCGUUGGUCUCUUCUGUAAACGAUANGACCGGUUUGUAUGUUGGGGGGGUNUGGUGNANGNNUNUGUUNUGANGUGNUGUNCCUUUGCUUUGUUUUUC